UGUACUAAAAGUGGAACAAAAUAAAAUAGGAACCAUACAGAGAUGAGCAUGGCCCCUGUGCAAGGAUGACAUGCAAAUUUGUGAAGAGUUCCAUAUGUUU
ensembl:snRNA U6 U6 spliceosomal RNA